GGCCGGGAGCGGCGGGCCCGGGGACCCGCCCGGCGCGGCCGAGAGCCCCCGGGGCGCGGCUCCGCGGCCGAAAUCCCUGCCCGGGAACCCCGUAGUGGUGUCCCGGCGCUGAGGCCGCGGGUGCUGUGUGUCACCUGCUGCCCGCCCUGGGCACGGAGCGGGCCCGCUGGCCCUCCCUGCAGAGGCACCACCACCAGGGAGCCUUUAAAGCCUUUUGUUUAAAGUCCUUUUUAUUCUUAACGGGUAACUGUGAAACAGCGUGCUGAAUCCACAAAUUAUAUUAAUCACGUAGAGUUACAAACCCAGAAAAAUAGUAUCCAGAAGUAGUUAGCUACAAGAUUAAUCACAGAAUCACAUCACAGAAUCAAUUAGACCUCUGAGAUACCGAAUCCAACCUGUAGCCGACCACCACCGUGUCAACUAGACCAUGGCACUGAGUGUCACGUCCAGUCUUUCCUUAAAAACAUUCAGGGCUGGUAACUCCACCACCCCUCUGGGCAGCCCAUUCCAUUAACCUUUCUGUGAAGAAAUUCCUCCUAAUGUCCAACCUAAAUCUCCCCAGGUGCAGCUUAAGACUGUUGUCCUGUCGUAGGCUGCCUGGCAGGAGAGACCAAGCCCCAUCUGUCUACAGUCUUCUUUCAAAGCAAUUGUAGAGAGCAUAAGGUCACCUCUGUCUUUUUUUCUCCAGGCCAAGCAACCCCAGCUUCCUCUGCUGUUCCUCAUCAGACUUGAGCUCCAAACCCUUCCCAAAUUCCACUGUCCUUCUCUGGACAUGCUCCAGCCCCUCAACAUCCUUCCUGAAUUGAAGGGCCUAGAACUGGGCACAAGACUCCAGGUGUGGCCUCACCAGUGCUGAGGACAGGGGAAGAUGUUUGGCUGCAUCAGUCACUAGCUUUAUUGCAUGAAUUAAUGUGGAUUUGCACAAUGCCAUGGCAUCAAUGGUUUCACAUGAUUCCACAAUUAAAUGAAAAGAUUUACAAGUAACUGCCAUGUGAGUAAUCUAAUGUGAUACCAUGAUUAUUUCCAUAACUUUCAAUAAAGAUUUUUUCAGGGCGAACUUCCAGUAUCCCUGUUUUGAACAGCUAUAGCUCUGCACAGACACCCUGAGCAAAGCAGAAGCAUUCACUGGAAAUGUGCAUCAGAAGACACACAGCAAUCUGCAGGACAUGCAACUGCCACAAGACAGCCAGUAAAAUCCCUGCUCUUUCAAAUCUCUUGCAUCUCUCACCUUUGCUUGUGGCUGCUGCAGUGGUUUCAGUUACCUCAUUCCAUGAAGGAGCUUACUGGAUUGAUUUUUAGUCUCUUCAGUGAGACCAAUGCCUUGUGUUCUGUUCAAGCUAUUAUAUUGUCUAUCCACUGUGGAAUAAUUGGAAGAAGGUAGUAGUGAUGCUUCCACCUAAGUGCCUUCAAAUGUAUUUGUUCAUAUGUGCUAAGUGCCUUGCUAAAUUAUGCCCUUACAUACACAUGAACAACUUUCCUGGGUUUACGGGGAAGGAAAAAAAAAAAAAAAAAGGAACAUCAAUAUGUCAUCCAAAUAUUUUCCUGACAUUAGUUUUGCAAUUGAAGGCCAACCAUUUCAGACUGGCACUUAGAGAAAGUUGAAACAUCAUCUUUUUAAAUAAAUUUGCUGUAGAAAAAAGAACAGUGGUUUUACUGUGUCAUUUUAUAUGAUGAGAAUUUUGUGAUUUUGUAGUGGGCUGAAAAGCUGAAAAGGCUAAUGAAUUACUCCAAAGAACUAUAUAAAGUCUUUCUU